GUAUAACGGCGUCAUCUUGUGUCUUACAAAACGAUCCUGCAGCUUAUCUCUUGCAUCAUCUUGUCUGUCCUUGCUUGUCUUGUAAACAUACCAAUUCACCUCGUUACAGAAACCUUACCUUAUUCCGUUCGAUACAAAACCGUCCUCAAAUCGUAACUUCUCUCGAAAAAUAAAUAAAUAAACACCACGACUAUCGCCACUUCUCUCGAAACUUCACCGCAAAAACCAACUCCUAAACAGGUCGACAAACCUUACCCGAACGGAUCGGCUUUUCGGAUUCGUUUUCUGUUUUCUUCACCAGUUUGAGGUAAUGGUUGCAGUGAUCUCAUUAUCUUUCCUUCUUGUGGCUGCUCCCAUAUUUGGUCUUCCUGGAGUCUAGACUGCGCUAUGUCUAUUCAUGACCUUGCGUGGAAUUUGAAAGUAAACUAUGUUUUAAUUUUGUAAGAGACAAUAUCAAGUGCAAUUACUUUCCAAAAAAAGAAAUCAAGUGCAAUCGGCCAUAUUCUUUAAACAUUAAUAAGGUUAAUAGCUUAUAUCA